GAAAAGGAAGAGAACAUUUCCCAGAAUACAUUUCCAAGAAUAUAUUUAUAAUCAUGCAAGCUAAAUCGACUCUUUGAAAGCUAUUCUCACUAGUUAUGUAUCAACAGAAAAUGUUUCUUCCGACAGUAACAAGUAACUGAUUUGCAGCUAUAAAUGCUUCAAACCUUAAACCUUAGUAGUAAUAAAUUCAAUGCCACAUAAACUUGUUUAUUAGUCAUG
rnacentral:lncRNA from 1 species